UUUUUGGCGAAGCGGAGGGACAUUGCUGGAACGCGCCCCAGGCGCACCCAGAAACCCUUUGUGAACUUAUACCUUACUGUUGCCUCGGCGCAUGCCGGCCCCCCUGGGGGCCCCUCCUUCUGGAGGAGCAGGCACGCCGGCGGCCAACCUAACUCUUGUUUUUACACUGAAACUCUGAGAAUAAAACAUAAAUGAAUCAAAACUUUCAACAACGGAUCUCUUGGUUCUGGCAUCGAUGAAGAACGCAGCGAAAUGCGAUAAGUAAUGUGAAUUGCAGAAUUCAGUGAAUCAUCGAAUCUUUGAACGCACAUUGCGCCCUCUGGUAUUCCGGAGGGCAUGCCUGUUCGAGCGUCAUUUCAACCCUCAAGCCUGGCUUGGUGAUGGGGCACUGCCUGUAAAAAGGCAGGCCCUGAAAUUCAGUGGCGAGCUCGCCAGGACCCCGAGCGCAGUAGUUAAACCCUCGCUUUGGAAGGCCCUGGCGGUGCCCUGCCGUUAAACCCCCAACUUCUGAAAAUUUGACCUCGGAUCAGGUAGGAAUACCCGCUGAACUUAAGCAUAUCAAAAGCCGGAGGAA
rnacentral:rRNA from 1 species